AAACCUCACCACCAACACCCAAAGCUGGAAUUCUACAUAAACUAUUCCUUG
rnacentral:tRNA from 1 species